rnacentral:rRNA from 1 species
GACGAACGCUGGCGGCGUGCUUAACACAUGCAAGUCGAACGGAAAGGCCCCUUUUUGUGUACUCGAGUGGCGAACGGGUGCGUAACACGUGAGUAACCUGCCCUUCCCUUCCGGAUAACUUCAGGAAACUGGGGCUAAUACCGUAUAGGAAUCCUUGCUUCAUGGUGGGGGUUGGAAAGCUUCGGCGUUUUUGGUUGGACUCGCGGCUUAUCAGCUUGUUGGUGGGGUAGUGGCUUACCAAGGCUUUGACGGGUAGCCGGCCUGAGAGGGCGACCGGCCAAAGUGGGACUGAGAUACGGCACAGACGACGACGGGGGGCAGCAGUGGGGAAGAUUGCACAAUGGGCGGAAGCCGGAUGAGGGAAGGAGGCGGGCGGGAUGACGGCCUUUGGGGUGGAAGACGAAUGCAGCAGGGGCGAAGCUUGUGGUGACGGUACCUGCAGAAGAAGCACCGGCUAACUAAGUG